AUCAUGUUCUCUCCACAGCCUGCCUCAGGCCCGUGAACGGUACCCUGGAGUCACCCCAGCAGGAAGCUGUUCCUUCCUCACGUGCAUGAGGACCACUUCCCAGUCUGCUCUUGUUAACAUUAUAACAAAAGCUCAUGUGUGACCACUUUUAAGGGAGGGGACAUAUUCUUUCGGGACAGUGAUUUGUUAGGUACAAAAUAAAUAAUUAUUGAUCAACUGCUUAGCCACCCAAGUAAGACAUUUGUAAUGUUGCCAUUACAUUAUGUGACAUCUGGAAGGCCACGUGUGACUCAUGACCAGAGAGAAUCCAAUCUUACGCUUAGCCAAUCACAAACAUGCUUGAAGUCCAGAGAAUGCUGCAGAUAGAAUCUUUAUUGUUCUCCUUGGGUCCAGAGAGAGGCCCUGCCAUUCUUCCUCCUCCUUUUUCCUGGAUGUCUCUCUGCCUCCCAUAGUCCUGCUUCCAUGUAGUUGUGACUCUUCCUAAUACAAAUCUAUGGGAUACAUUCCUGACUCUACUGAGAUAAGUGGGUGCUGAGUAGAUAAUUACAUUCUUUGGUAUAAAAUAUCUAAAAGACAAACACACUCUCAUUUGCUAAGGGAUAAAAUCAAUAGAUCUCUAUUUACCAGGAACCGUGCUAAUCACUUUGCACUUUGCAUAUAUUAUCUCAUUUAAAGUUCAUGAGACCUAUGAGUUGUGUUAUCAUUUGCCUGAUGAUUUCACAGAGUAGGAAGGUAAGACACAUCGAGUCACACAGGAAGUUGCACAACUGAGUAGUAGAGAAUUCAGAAUCUCAACCCGAGCUGCCAAAUUCUUGAGCUGACAUACAGUAAGGUGUAGAGUACUGUCAAGAGGCUUGAGGGAGCUAAGGCCGGCAAAGCACUAAAAACACCACCUGGCACAUGCGGAGGCCCAACGCAAAGGGGAACAGAACCAACUGUGAGGAAGGAGAGAAGAGGUGGGCCUUGCCAUCUGCUCAUUAUUCAGAGAGUGUGUACAUAGAUGGAAGUUGGGGCUGCCCCAUCCCUGUUCACUUGCUGAGCUCCAAUUUACACUGUUGUGAAGUACCGCAGUGCCCUCAGGACCAAGCAGAAUGAACCACUCCUUGCCUGUGCACUCCACAGAACAUUUACUUGAUUGCCUUGCCAACGCCUUGUUGCUGUAAUGGGAUCUUUGGCUUGUCUGCUCCAAGAGCAAGGUAAGCACCAUUUUCAAAUUUGUCUUUGAAUGUCCAGGCCGAAGUUUAGCACAUAGUAGGAGAUCAGCAUGUUUUCAAAGGUAAAUAAAUAAAAGCGUGUCCUCUCA
rnacentral:lncRNA from 13 species